rnacentral:rRNA from 1 species
GCAGAAGAAGCUACCGGCUAACUCCGUGCCAGCAGCCGCGGUAAUACGGAGGGUGCGAGCGUUAAUCGGAAUUACUGGGCGUAAAGCGCAUGCAGGUGGUUUGUUAAGUCAGAUGUGAAAGCCCGGGGCUCAACCUCGGAAUUGCAUUUGAAACUGGCAAACUAGAGUACUGUAGAGGGGGUAGAAUUUCAGGUGUAGCGGUGAAAUGCGUAGAGAUCUGAAGGAAUACCGGUGGCGAAGGCGGCCCCCUGGACAGAUACUGACACUCAGACUGCGAAAGCGUGGGGAGCCAAACAGGAUUAGAUACCCCUGGUAG